AUCAUUUCAGAUUUAUAUUGUUGUAGAAUACAUGAGAUAUAGAUGAGUAGUUACAGGAGAUAUACAUGAGGAGAUACAUAAGAUAUCUAGUGUUAUCAUCACAAACUGGUUAUUAGAUAACCAUGCACAACUGACUUGUGCUGAGCAGAUCACAACAAGAGUUUGGUUACAACAAACUCUAUCAGUAGGAGUUAUAUUUGGGAUGCUUCACGAUAAUGGAUCAGUGAGAUGCAUCUUUGUUAGAACUGCAUCUUUUUGACUUUAGUUAACCGUAAAAUCCAGCUAUCUUUUCUGCAGUCCAAUCUGAAACAGGUGCAUCUAGCUAACUAUAUUUCUUGCAAGAUUGACUGUCAAUCCUUAUUAUGAUUAAAUAUCAAGUUUAGAGAAUCUUAUGGUCAUAAUCUUAUUCUACUAUCCUUGUUAUGGUUGGACCUCAAAACUGCAAGAAAUGAAAGGUGCUGAAGUUAUGUGUUUCACGCAUUGCAUCAUCUGCAACUGAAGGUUAAGCUUCUCUCGUUGGACGAAGUUCACGAAAGAUAUAGCCAAGUUUUUGUACCAGAUCCUCUAACAUGUAUGUUUCCAGCGUCAGGAAAUUAUGGCUUUGGUUUGAUUUGCACAACAGCAGAAUUUAGCUUAAAUGAGAUUUGAUGGAUUGAGAACAUUGGAUUGGAUUUCAGGUUUUGGGCUCAUAUCGUGAUGGCAUAAAAAUUACUCUUUUGUUGCUGCGGAUAGGGUUUAUCAUAUAAGAACUUCUGAAUCAUCAGUUGCAAUUUUUUUUACAUCAAGGAUACUUCUCUUCUCACAUGCUAUUCAGUUUAUAACUCUUUGUAUUUUUUCUUAUUAACAUUUCCCUUGGUAUAUCAAAGACCAAAUUGACUAUGUAAUUAUCAGUUGUACAUGCAUUUGAUAAGAUAAUGGAAUUGUUACUUAUUUGCUCUGAUA